rnacentral:lncRNA from 1 species
UCACAGCAUGUCAUGCAAGCUCUCAAGCAUAGGUUAGUCCUUGAGUGUAAUUUGCACCUUUGUCCACAUAAUGGGAUGCAAUCUGCCAACAAAGUUGUCCAACAUGUUGUCAGAAAGAUAACAGAUAAGUUCCUUGAGUUUUGGUAAAUGAAAAAAUGAUGUUUUCUUUACCCUUUUUUGUCCUAACAGGUGGCAAUGGUGGACUUGGUGGCUUGUAAGGCGGUGCUGGAGUUGUUGGUGGCUUAACUGGAGGUGUAGGAACUGGGGGCUUAUAUGGGGGAGUUGGUGCUUUAGUUGGCGGUGCUGGUGCUGGAGUUGGUGCUUUGGUUGGGGGUGUUGGGGGCAUAUAUGGGGGAGUAGGGGCCUUGACUGGAGGUGCCGGUGCGGGAGUAGGGGGUUUAUAUGGGGGAGUAGGAGCCUUGGUUGGUGGUGCUGGUGCUGGGGGCUUAAAUGGUGGAGUUGGAGCCUUGGUUGGUGGUGCAGGAGCUGGGGGCUUAUAUGGUGGAGUAGGAGCCUUGGUUGGUGGUGCAGGAGCUGGGGGCUUAUAUGGUGGAGUAGGAGCCUUGGUUGGUGGUGCAGGAGCUGGGGGUUUAUAUGGUGGAGUAGGAGCCUUGGUUGGUGGUUUAUAUGGUGGAGUGGGGGCCUUGGUAGGGGGUUUAUAUGGAGUGGGGCCCUUAGUUGGGGGUGCUGGAGUUGGAGCCUUGUACGGCGGCACCGGAGUGGUGGGAGGCUUAACGGGUGGAGCAGGGAUAGGUGCCUUCACUGGAACAGGAGCAGCAUAUUUAAUCUGAACAGUGAUAUGCAACAAAUUUAGCAAAGUUCCAUUUACAGACUAUGGUCUUAUGCACCACAAUGGCUAAUAGCAUUCAGUAUGAAAAAAUACAAGAAAUACAUUAUCCAAAAAGAAAAAACAUGAAUCAGAUUGUUUCAAAAGAACCAAGUUUAAGAUUGUUACAACCUAGACAAGACAAAACAGUAAAAUAAAUGUUUGAAAAAUCACC